ACAUCCUGAUUGGAAAGAAGACAGCCACGAGAAACAAAAAUAAUCAAAAACAAAGAACUGGAGAUAAAUAAUCACAAAUGUAUACUGCUGAAAAAAUCCUACCUGAAAAAUAUUUCAACAGGUUUAAAAGAGGUGCUAAGACACAGGGUCUCGCUAUGUUGCUCAGGCUGCUCUCGAACCCCUGGCCUCAAGUGAUCCUCCUGUCUUAGCGUCCUAAGUAGCUGGGAUUACAAGCAUAAGGCACAGCAUCUGGUAAGUCUAGAUUCUUUAACCUUGAAAUUAGAGACGUUUCUCUGGUCCCCUCUCCUCUGGCACUGUGCACAGCAGCCACCUGGAGUGACUUGUAGUUUGUACAGGCCCGCCUGAAAUGUACCUUCCCCAAACCCCCAUUCUCUGGCAAAUUUUUGUUGUUUAAAAGCCAACUCAGAUACCAUGCUGUCUGUGAUAUCUUUCUGGCAACAGCCCUUCUCUCUAUACACUUCCUUUUUUCUAAUGUAGAUGUUUUGGUUGCCACCUUUGCUCUUAUAUCUCUGUCAUCUUCAUAUAUACAGUAUCUCUUCAAUACAAUGCCCAGAAUUUAUCAAGCACUUUCUGGCUAAUAAUGUUCUUUGUAGAUCAGAACAAAUAUCAGUAAUUAUACCAUUUAUAAAGAAAAGUAAAAUUUAAAGGUAAAAAUUUUACAGCAAAAAUGGUAUCACAAAGAAAAUAAGUGAAGAGGGAAAAGACCACCCAAUUUCAUGAGUUUUCUUGAAUUGUAUGUUUCAGAUAAACUCUUUCCAAGCUAACCAUGAGUUAGUGCUGCUGUAGGGUCUAGAGUUAGUUAUGCCAAGAAUAAUGUUAAGUUCCUAAACAAUGACCACUGUUAGUUACUAUACUUAAUUCAUUUUAAGACCCCAUCUCUGUCUUUUAACAUUUAUGAACUUGCAAUGCAUCACAGGCUUACAACUGGCAAUAUUUGGGGUUUUGUUUUUGCUUAGAGAAAUAUAAAGCAAUGGAGCAUGUUAAAUUCAAUGAAAUAGACUUUAAACCAGCAAUAAUGCAACUUGAUAUGUGGAGAUCGGCUGCAGAGUAUUUGUUUUUAGAAGAGAUUGUGUCCUGCUCUGAUACCCAGGAUGAAAUAUAAUGGCAUGAUCCUAGCUCACUAUAGCCUCAAAAACUCCUGCCCUCAAGUGACCCUCCUGCCUCAGCCUCUCGAGUAGCUAGGACUACAGAUGUGCAUCACCAUUCCCAGCUAUUUAAAAAAUUGUCUGAAGAUGUGGAGCCUCACUCUAUUGCCCAGGUUGGUCUCAAACUCCAGGCCUCAUGUGAUCCUCCUGCCCUGGCCUCCCAAAGUUCUGGCAUUGCAGAAGUGAGCCACCAUACCUGGUCAUAUUCAACAUUUAGAUAACGUUUUAAACCAAUAUUAAGAUAGCUGAGUUAGUUAUACCUGCAAGCACCAUCAAAGACUAUAACCUUGCCCUCCCUUGGUACUGAAAACAAACUACAGUGCAUUAUGUUACACAUUAUUAGGGAUAAGAAGUAAGGCAUCUAAAUUUUUUGCUUAAACAAGAGAUGGAAAGAAAGAAAUGUGUGAAUUCAUAAAUCCUAUCAAGGUGUGACUGACAGUACCAAGAAAAAGCACAGACGAUUCAGCUGGCAGAAUGAGGAUGUGUUCUUAUAUACUAGUCAUCCACAAUUUGCUUUCCUUCUGUAAUGGUAAAGGUUUACCAUUUAACCAGUAAGAUGAUAAAACAAAUAAUUCACAAUAUCUAUUCCCAUAUUCCACAUGAAUGCUUACUAGCCCUACUUGUUAUCAGCUUACGUCAUUUCACCUUUGUUUCUGUGGAUAACAGCACUUCUCUUGAUAUGCCAUGAACAUGGAUUCAGUACCAAUCUCCUAAGACUGACAGCUCUAAGACAGCAGAGACUAAGUCUAAUUAACCUUAGUAUUGCCAGAUUGAGUUGGCUUCGCUAGGUAUACUAUGCACCAUGACUUUUCAAGCUUUGUGCAUGUGUUUAGCAUCUUGGCAAAGGAAACUUAGAAGUCAUACCUGGUAGGAUUCCUUUUGUCUUCCUCAGAGAUCAAAAACCAAACAAAAUCUGCAUAGCUCAUUCUUCCCUCUUUCUGUAUGGUUUUUCCUCUGAAGAAAACACAUGGUUAUAAAAUUUCCUGAGCAAUUACUCAGAACCGUUUUUCAGGAUGAUAGGCUAAGAAAUAAAGUGUUAUGUCAGUUGAUUUUUUAAAAAAUUAGAAUGCUAGAUGCCUUAUAAAGGGCAACUAGCAUUCUUAUCUUCAAAGGUCUAGAGGGCGAAACCAGAAGGCAUUUGCAAAUACAAAGAAAAGAAAUCUGAUUUUUAAUACGAAUGUGAAUAAUCACUGGGAUAAAAUACUGUUAUCUGUAUUUAGAUAUAGGAUUAAUACUCAUGUUAGGCAUCAAAGGGAGAUGCUGCAAAAUAAUAAGAGCUAUCUAUGACAAACACACAGCUAGCAUUAUACUGAAAGGACAAAAGCCAGAAACAAUCCCCUUAAGAACAAGACAAGGAUGCCCACUCUCACCACUCUAUUCAACACAGUACUGGAAGUCUUAGCCAGAGCAAUCAGGCAAGAGAAAGAAAUAAAAUGCAUCCAAAUAGGAAAUGUCAAAUUAUCUCUCUUUGCUGACCACAUGAUUCUAUACCUAGAAAAGCCUGAAAACUAUGCCAAAAGGCUUUCAGAACUAUUAAAAAUUUCAUUAAAGUUUUGGGAUACAAAAUCAACAUAUAAAAAUCAGUAACAUUUCUAUACACCAAUAGCAUUCAAGCUGAGAGCCAAAUCAAGAAUGCAAUCCCAUUUACAAUAGCUGCACACACACACAAAAUAAAAUACCUAGGAAUAUGGCUAACCAAGGAGGUGAAAAAUCUCUACAGGGAGGACUACAACACUCUGCUGAAAGAAAUCAGAGAUGACACAAACCAAUGGAAAAACAUUCCAUGGUCAUGGAUAGGAAGAAUCAAUAUCGUUAAAAUAGCCAUACUGCCCAAGGCAAUCUUACAGAUUCAAUGCUAUUCUUACUAAGCUAACGUCAUUUUUCACAGAAAAGUUUUUUUUUUUUGGGGGGGGAACUAUUCCAAAAUUCAUAUGGAACCCAAAACAAAGCCCAAAUAGCUAAAGCAAUCUUAAGCAAAAACAACCAAGCCAGAGGUAUCAUAGCACUUGAGUUCAAACUACACUAUAAGGCUACUGUAACCCAAACAGCAUGGUACUGGUACAAAAACAGACACAUAGAUCAAUGGAACAGAAUAGAGAGCCCAGAAAUAAAGCUGCACACCUACAAGCAUCUGAUAUUUGACAAAGUCAACAAAAACAGUGAAAAGAUGACUCCCUAUUCAAUAAACAGUGCUGGGAUAACUGGUUAGCUAUAUGUAGAAGAAGGAAACCAGACCCUUACUUUUCACCAUAUAAAAAAAUUAAUUCACAAUGGAUUAAAGACUUAAAUGUUAGACCUCAAACUAUAACAAACCUAGAAGAAAACCUAGGAAAUACCCUUCUUGACAUCAGCCUAGGCAAAUAAGUUAUGGCUAAGUCCUCAAAAGCAAUUGCAACAAAACCAAAAAUUGAUGAUUAGGACCAAAUUAAACUAAAGGGCUUCUGUACAACAAAAAGAAACUAUCAACAGAUUUAACAGACAAACUACAGAAUUGGAGAAAACAUUCUCAAACUAUGUAUCCAACAGAGGUCUAAUAUCCAUAAUCUAUAAGGAACUUAUAUCAACAAGCAAAAAACAACUCCAUUUAAAAAUGGGCAAAGGACAUGAACAGACACUUCUCAGAAGACACACAAGCAGCCAACAAACAUGAAACAAUCUCAACAUCAUUCAUCAUUAGAGAAAUGCAAAUAAAAACCACAACAAAAUACCAUCUUACAACAUCAGAAUGGCAAUUACUAAAAAGUCCAAAUAUAACACAUGCUGGUGAGGCUGUGGAGAAAAGGGAAUGCUUAUACAUUGUUAGUGCGAAUGUAAACGAGUCCAGCUGCGGUGGAGAGCAGUUGAUUUCUCAAAGAACUUAAAACAGAACUACCAUUCAACCCAGCAAUCCCAUUACUGGGCAUAUACCCAAGGGAAAAUGAAUCAUUCUACCAAAAAUAUACAUGCACUUGUAUGUUUAUCCAGCACUAUUCACAAUAGCAAAGACAUGGAAUCAACCUAGAUGCUAUCAACAGUAGACUGGAUAAAGAAAAAUGUGGUACAUAUAUACCACUGAAUACUAUGCAGCCAUAAAAAUUAUGAAAUCAUGUCCCUGCAGCAAUAUGGAGGCAGCUGGAAGCCAUUGUCCUAAGCAAAUUAACACAGGAACAGAAAACCAAAUACUACAUGUUUUCACUACUAAGUGGAGGCUAAUGUUGACUACACAUAGGUAUAAAGAUGGGAGCAAUGGACACUGGGGUCUGCUGAAGGGGUAGGGAGUGAGCAGAGGGCUGAGGGACUGACGGGUGUUGUGCUCACUGCCUGUGUGACAGCAUCCUCCAUACACCAAACCUCAUUAUCACGCAUUGUUCCCAUGUGACAGACCUGUAUAUGUAUUCCCUGAAUUAGAAAUGUAUUCCCUAAAUCAGAAAAAAAAUUUUUUUAAAUAAAAAAAAAUAAAAAAUUAUUAAAAAAAAAGAAUUACUGUCUUGUAUUAAGCCAUAACUAUGAUUUACAGGAUAAUAUUUGGUCUAGGAGCACUGCCAAAUUAUUCAGGAAGCAUUGCUAAAAUGAGAUCAUUACAGUAUUACUUGUAGUUCAUUUUUAAACACAGAAUUACAUUUUCUUACCUUGUUACUGCCCCAGAGAAGAUCCUUUCGAUAAUCCUGUUUGAUGAAGCUAAAUGUAGAUUUAAAAAACAUUACAAAGCUAGUUUAGAAUCAUGCUCCAUAAAGGCAAUACUUUUCACAAAUUUGCUUUUCAUUAGCUACAAGCUAAACCAUAACUAUCGUCCAUGAUGAAAGUACAUUUUAAUUUAUGCAUACUUUAAAAAAGUAACAGGCAAAUGAAUGUGGCUGACAUCUGGGAAGUAUUAAUAUAGCUUAAUGCUAAGUUUGUUCUGAACAUCCUGACAACUAAGACAAAAAUGUAUAGGAUUUGUAUUAAUCUUAUCCAAUGAGACCGAUUUUCCUAUAAACAAGACAAAUUUUAUCCUUACAUUAAAUUCAAAAGGGAACUGAUUGUGGAAGAUCCUAAAUCAAUGUAAAAUAAAACAAAGUUAAA